rnacentral:rRNA from 1 species
AGUGAACGCUGGCGGUAGGCCUAACACAUGCAAGUCGAACGGCAGCACAGUAAGAGCUUGCUCUUACGGGUGGCGAGUGGCGGACGGGUGAGGAAUACAUCGGAAUCUACUUUUUCGUGGGGGAUAACGUAGGGAAACUUACGCUAAUACCGCAUACGACCUACGGGUGAAAGCAGGGGAUCUUCGGACCUUGCGCGAUUGAAUGAGCCGAUGUCGGAUUAGCUAGUUGGCGGGGUAAAGGCCCACCAAGGCGACGAUCCGUAGCUGGUCUGGGAGGAGGUUCGGCCACACUGGAACUGGAACACGGUCCAGGCUCCUACGGGAGGCAGCAGUGGGGAAUAUUGGACAAUGGGCGCAAGCCUGAUCCAGCCAUACCGCGUGGGUGAAGAAGGCCUUCGGGUUGUAAAGCCCUUUUGUUGGGAAAGAAAAGCAGCAGGUUAAUACCCCGCUGUUCUGACGGUACCCAAAGAAUAAGCACCGGCUAACUUCGUG